GGAUGGAGCUCAGUGGCAGAGCACUUGCCUAGCAUGUGAGAAGCCCUGGGUUCAAUCCUCAGCAUCACA
rnacentral:tRNA from 1 species